UACGUAGGGGGCAAGUGUUGUCCGGAUUUAUUGGGCGUAAAGAGCGUGUAGGCGGCUUUGCAAGUCCGUUGUGAAAACUCGAGGCUCAACCUCGAGACGCCGGUGGAAACUGCAAAGCUAGAGUCCGGAAGAGGAGAGUGGAAUUCCUGGUGUAGCGGUGAAAUGCGCAGAUAUCAGGAAGAACACCGGUGGCGAAAGCGCUCUGCUAGGCCGCAACUGACACUGAGGGACGAAAGCUAGGGGAGCGAAUGGG
rnacentral:rRNA from 1 species